rnacentral:ncRNA from 1 species
ACUCAUACGAAGAUCAAGAGGAGUACGAUUUUUUUCCUGUAUCAGAGAGAGAAUGAUUGGUGGAACAUUCUUACAGUAAAGAUCGGAAGGUAGCUUGGGAGUAAUGUUCUUUGAAGAAAGUAGAAGGGCACGAGUCAUGAUCGUUAUCUCAUGUUUGAGCGGCAGAAAAAAUUCUGCAAUUUAGGUGGUACCGCGUAGAUUACGUCCUAAAA